rnacentral:rRNA from 1 species
AGAGUUUGAUCCUGGCUCAGAUUGAACGCUGGCGGCAGGCUUAACACAUGCAAGUCGAGCGGAGAUGAGGUGCUUGCACCUUAUCUUAGCGGCGGACGGGUGAGUAAUGCUUAGGAAUCUGCCUAUUAGUGGGGGACAACAUUCCGAAAGGAAUGCUAAUACUGCAUACGUCCUACGGGAGAAAGCGGGGGAUCUUCGGACCUUGCGCUAAUAGAUGAGCCUAAGUCGGACUAGCUAGUUGGUGGGGUAAAGGCCUACCAAGGCGACGAUCUGUAGCGGGUCUGAGAGGAUGAUCCGCCACACUGGGACUGAGACACGGCCCAGACUCCUACGGGAGGCAGCAGUGGGGAAUAUUGGACAAUGGGGGGAACCCUGAUCCAGCCAUGCCGCGUGUGUGAAGAAGGCCUUAUGGUUGUAAAGCACUUUAAGCGAGGAGGAGGCUACUGAGACUAAUACUCUUGGAUAGUGGACGUUACUCGCAGAAUAAGCACCGGCUAACUCUGUGCCAGCAGCCGCGGUAAUACAGAGGGUGCGAGCGUUAAUCGGAUUUACUGGGCGUAAAGCGUGCGUAGGCGGCUUUUUAAGUCGGAUGUGAAAUCCCCGAGCUUAACUUGGGAAUUGCAUUCGAUACUGGGAAGCUAGAGUAUGGGA